rnacentral:rRNA from 1 species
GACGAACGCUGGCGGCGCGCCUAACACAUGCAAGUCGAACGAGCGAGAGAGAGCUUGCUUUCUCGAGCGAGUGGCGAACGGGUGAGUAACGCGUGAGGAACCUGCCUCAAAGAGGGGGACAACAGUUGGAAACGACUGCUAAUACCGCAUAAGCCCACGGGUCGGCAUCGACCAGAGGGAAAAGGAGCAAUCCGCUUUGAGAUGGCCUCGCGUCCGAUUAGCUAGUUGGUGAGGUAACGGCCCACCAAGGCGACGAUCGGUAGCCGGACUGAGAGGUUGAACGGCCACAUUGGGACUGAGACACGGCCCAGACUCCUACGGGAGGCAGCAGUGGGGAAUAUUGCACAAUGGGGGGAACCCUGAUGCAGCGACGCCGCGUGGAGGAAGAAGGUCUUCGGAUUGUAAACUCCUGUUGUUGAGGAAGAUAAUGACGGUAC